GGGAUUCACAGUUGUAAGCCCCUUUUAAUAAAUGCUUUAAGAAAGGGAGGCCUGUCUUACGUGUUGACUAGAACAAACAGCUCAUUUCUUUUGACAGCUCUGAGCUUUUCCAGACAAGAACACAAAAGGCAAAAGGUGGCUAGGUCAUCCCAGGACUGCAGCCUUAGGCUGCUAGAGGCCACGUUAAAGUUUGAUCUAGUCUCUUCAUGCAGGGGUUUGGGCGGGGUUGCUAUGUGCCAAGAGUUCCCGCAGAUUCCACUGGCUAACAGACCCUGGGGCCUUUCAAGAUCGAUGUACCCGAAGCUCAUGCAGGAGAUGGCUUUGAGGGUGGCCUGGCUCGCUGUUAAAUGUUAGCUGGAAUGGGUUUUCCUCAUCGAGGCAACUGUCCACCUCUCAAAUGUAGCUUAAAAUAGACACACACACACACACACACACACACACACACACACACAGAAUCCACGGAGAAUUCUUUAAAGAUUAAAAAUUACACACCACACAAGAGUAAGGCUCUUCCUGAAAUAUCUUUCCUUUUCCUUCUCUAUAACACCCAAAUCUGUACUUCCUAGGCCAACUGCAAGAAGCAUUUGCUCAGCGAGGUCCUUCCUUUGUUUUGAAAGUUCUCUUGGAACUUGCACUUAUACCUGUGCACACCACUUCUUACUUGGUCCUCUGAAGCACUGGAGUCGUUUCAUACUUAUUGCAUGUAUGUGUUUCCUCUCCCCUAGACAUAGUAUGUACUGGGGCCUCCUUGAAGCCCCUGUCCAGUGGUUUUUGGUUACAAACUCUUUCCCGCUAUAGCUCUUUGUUUAUAGUGAUUGGAAAUAUUAGGUCAUCAGCAUAUUAUGUGUUGCUUCCACUCUUGGAAAGAAUUCAGGGUGGACACAACAAAAAGUUCUCUCUUUCCAUGACUGAUGCUUUAUUGAACAAUUUAGGGUAUUUGUGAAGGAC